rnacentral:rRNA from 1 species
GGGGAAUUUUCCGCAAUGGGCGAAAGCCUGACGGAGCAAUACCGCGUGAGGGAGGAAGGCUCUUGGGUCGUAAACCUCUUUUCUCAGGGAAGAACACAAUGACGGUACCUGAGGAAUAAGCAUCGGCUAACUCCGUGCCAGCAGCCGCGGUAAUACGGAGGAUGCAAGCGUUAUCCGGAAUGAUUGGGCGUAAAGCGUCCGCAGGUGGCUGUGUAAGUCUGCUGUUAAAGAGUCUAGCUCAACUAGAUACAAGCAGUGGAAACUACACGGCUAGAGUACGUUCGGGGCAGAGGGAAUUCCUGGUGUAGCGGUGAAAUGCGUAGAGAUCAGGAAGAACACCAGUGGCGAAGGCGCUCUGCUAGGCCGUAACUGACACUGAGGGACGAAAGCUAGGGGAGCGAAUAGGAUUAGGUACCCCAGUAGUCCUAGCCGUAAACGAUGGAUACUAGGCGUGGCUUGUAUCGACCCGAGCCGUGCCGUAGCUAACGCGUUAAGUAUCCCGCCUGGGGAGUACGCCGGCAACGGUGAAACUCAAAGGAAUUGACGGGGGCCCGCACAAGCGGUGGAGUAUGUGGUUUAAUUCGAUGCAACGCGAAGAACCUUACCAAGGCUUGACAUGUCGCGAAUCUUGAUGAAAGUUGAGAGUGCCUUCGGGAGCGCGAACACAGGUGGUGCAUGGCUGCCGUCAGCUCGUGUCAUGAGAUGUUGGGUUAAGUCCCGCAACGAGCGCAACCCUCGUUUUUAGUUGCCAGCAUUAAGUUGGGCACUCUAGAGAGACUGCCGGUGACAAACCGGAGGAAGGUGGGGAUGACGUCAAGUCAGCAUGCCCCUUACGCCUUGGGCUACACACGUACUACAAUGCUCCGGACAGAGGGCAGCAAGCCAGCGAUGGCAAGCAAAUCCCGUAAACCGGAGCUCAGUUCAGAUCGCAGGCUGCAACUCGCCUGCGUGAAGGAGGAAUCGCUAGUAAUUGCAGGUCAGCAUACUGCAGUGAAUUCGUUCCCGGGCCUUGUACACACCGCCCGUCACACCAUGGAUGCUGGUAGUGCCCGAAGUCAUUACUCCAACCUUUCGGGGAGGAGGAUGCCUAAGGCAAGACUGGUGACUGGGGU